rnacentral:rRNA from 1 species
UACAGAGGGGGCAAGCGUUGUUCGGAAUUACUGGGCGUAAAGGGCGCGUAGGCGGCCUUCUAAGUCGAACGUGAAAUCCCCGGGCUCAACCCGGGAACUGCGUCCGAGACUGGAAGGCUUGAAUCCGGGAGAGGGAUGUGGAAUUCCAGGUGUAGCGGUGAAAUGCGUAGAUAUCAGGAGGAACACCGGUGGCGAAGGCGGGUCUCUGGGCCGAUACUGACGCUGAGGAGCGAAAGCGUGGGGAGCGAACAGG